rnacentral:rRNA from 1 species
UUUGGUUAAGUUAGAAAGGGCGCACGGUGGAUGCCUUGACACUAGGAGUCGAUGAAGGACGGGACUAACGCCGAUAUGCUUCGGGGAGCUGUAAGUAAGCUUUGAUCCGAAGAUUUCCGAAUGGGGAAACCCACCAUACGUAAUGGUAUGGUAUCCUUAUCUGAAUACAUAGGGUAAGGAAGACAGACCCAGGGAACUGAAACAUCUAAGUACCUGGAGGAAGAGAAAGCAAAUGCGAUUUCCUGAGUAGCGGCGAGCGAAACGGAACAUAGCCCAAACCAAGAGGCUUGCCUCUUGGGGUUGUAGGACAUUCUAUACGGAGUUACAAAGGAACGAGGUAGACGAAGCGACCUGGAAAGGUCCGUCGUAGAGGGUAACAACCCCGUAGUCGAAACUUCGUUCUCUCUUGAAUGUAUCCUGAGUACGGCGGAACACGUGAAAUUCCGUCGGAAUCUGGGAGGACCAUCUCCCAAGGCUAAAUACUCCCUAGUGAUCGAUAGUGAACCAGUACCGUGAGGGAAAGGUGAAAAGCACCCCGGAAGGGGAGUGAAAGAGAUCCUGAAACCGUGUGCCUACAAAUAGUCAGAGCCCGUUAACGGGUGAUGGCGUGCCUUUUGUAGAAUGAACCGGCGAGUUACGAUCCCGUGCGAGGUUAAGCUGAAGAGGCGGAGCCGCAGCGAAAGCGAGUCUGAAUAGGGCGUUUAGUACGUGGUCGUAGACCCGAAACCAGGUGAUCUACCCAUGUCCAGGGUGAAGUUCAGGUAACACUGAAUGGAGGCCCGAACCCACGCACGUUGAAAAGUGCGGGGAUGAGGUGUGGGUAGCGGAGAAAUUCCAAUCGAACCUGGAGAUAGCUGGUUCUCCCCGAAAUAGCUUUAGGGCUAGCCUUAAGUGUAAGAGUCUUGGAGGUAGAGCACUGAUUGGACUAGGGGUCCUCAUCGGAUUACCGAAUUCAGUCAAACUCCGAAUGCCAAUGACUUAUCCUUAGGAGUCAGACUGCGAGUGAUAAGAUCCGUAGUCAAAAGGGAAACAGCCCAGACCGCCAGCUAAGGUCCCAAAGUGUGUAUUAAGUGGAAAAGGAUGUGGAGUUGCUUAGACAACUAGGAUGUUGGCUUAGAAGCAGCCACCAUUUAAAGAGUGCGUAAUAGCUCACUAGUCGAGUGACUCUGCGCCGAAAAUGUACCGGGGCUAAAUACACCACCGAAGCUGCGGAUUGAUACCAAUGGUAUCAGUGGUAGGGGAGCGUUCUAAGGACAGUGAAGUCAGACCGGAAGGACUGGUGGAGUGCUUAGAAGUGAGAAUGCCGGUAUGAGUAGCGAAAGACGGGUGAGAAUCCCGUCCACCGAAUGCCUAAGGUUUCCUGAGGAAGGCUCGUCCGCUCAGGGUUAGUCAGGACCUAAGCCGAGGCCGACAGGCGUAGGCGAUGGACAACAGGUUGAUAUUCCUGUACCACCUCUUUAUCGUUUGAGCAAUGGAGGGACGCAGAAGGAUAGAAGAAGCGUGCGAUUGGUUGUGCACGUCCAAGCAGUUAGGCUGAUAAGUAGGCAAAUCCGCUUAUCGUAAAGGCUGAGCUGUGAUGGGGAAGCUCCUUAUGGAGCGAAGUCUUUGAUUCCCCGCUGCCAAGAAAAGCUUCUAGCGAGAUAAAAGGUGCCUGUACCGCAAACCGACACAGGUAGGCGAGGAGAGAAUCCUAAGGUGUGCGAGAGAACUCUGGUUAAGGAACUCGGCAAAAUGACCCCGUAACUUCGGGAGAAGGGGUGCUUUCUUAACGGAAAGCCGCAGUGAAUAGGCCCAAGCGACUGUUUAGCAAAAACACAGCUCUCUGCGAAGCCGUAAGGCGAAGUAUAGGGGGUGACACCUGCCCGGUGCUGGAAGGUUAAGGAGAGGGGUUAGCGUAAGCGAAGCUCUGAACUGAAGCCCCAGUAAACGGCGGCCGUAACUAUAACGGUCCUAAGGUAGCGAAAUUCCUUGUCGGGUAAGUUCCGACCCGCACGAAAGGUGUAACGAUUUGGGCACUGUCUCAACCAGAGACUCGGUGAAAUUAUAGUACCUGUGAAGAUGCAGGUUACCCGCGACAGGACGGAAAGACCCCGUGGAGCUUUACUGUAGCCUGAUAUUGAAUUUUGGUACAGUUUGUACAGGAUAGGCGGGAGCCAUUGAAACCGGAGCGCUAGCUUCGG